ensembl:lncRNA
GGUGGUGGUGAAAGUGGUGGUGGUGGUGGUAGUGGUGAUGAUGGAGGUGGUGAUGGAGGUGGUGGUGGUGAUGGUAGUGGUGGUGAUGGAGGUGGUGGUGGUGGUGGUGAUGGUGGUGGUGGUGAAGUGGUGAAAGUGGUCGUGGAGAAAGUGGUGAAAUUGGUGGUGGUAGUGGUGGUGGUGGUAGUGGUGAUGAUGGAGGUGGUGAUGGUGAUGGUAGUGGUGGUGAUGGUGAGGUGGUGGUGGUGAAAGUGGUGGUGGUGGUGGUAGUGGUGAUGAUGGAGGUGGUGAUGGAGGUGGUGGUAGUGGUGGUAGUGGUGAUGAUGGAGGUGGUGAUGGAGGUGGUGGUGGUGGUGAAAGUGCUGGUGAAAGUGGUGGUGGAGGAGAAAGUGGUGAAAGUGGUGGUGGUAGUGGUGGUGGUGAUGAUGGUGAAAGUCAUGGUGGUGAAAGUGGUGAAGGUGGUGGUGAUGGAGGUGUUGAUGGAGGUGGUGGUGGUGGUAGUGGUGGUGUUGGAGGUGGUGGUGAAAGUGAUGGUGGUGGAGAAAGUGCUGAAAGUGGUGGUGGUAGUGGUGGUGGUGGAGGUGGUGGUGGUGGUGGUGAUGGUGGUGGUUGUGAAAGUGGUGAUGGUGGUGGUAGUGGUGGUGAUGGAGGUGGUGAUAGAGGUGGUGGUGGUAGUGGUGGUAUUGGUGGUAGUGGUGGUGGUGAAA